UUGUGGUGGAGGUAGAUACAGUUGGUACUUUAACCUGAACAAUUUUUUUUUAGGUUUAAGUCUGGGAAGGGUGGAACAAAACCUCAGGUGAAAGAACUUGGUAAAGUGAUAAGUCAGUGCAGGUGUGGCUGUUUGGUAAGAAGUUUGCUUCUCAAACACAUGAUUCUGGGUUCAGUCCCACUGAAGCCUUGAGAGUGGAUUUGGUAGACAGAAACUGAAAGUAGCCUUGUGUGUGUGUGUGUGUGUGUGUGUGCGUGUCUUAACAUUAUCUGAUAGUUAUCAAUGUGUGUUACUGCCAUACAAGCAGUGUCGAUCAUUUCCAUUAAUUCUGCGGAAACUCAUCUGGCCAUGUGGAAAUAUUUCCUUGCUUGGAAACAGGUAUGGGUUGGUGACAGGAAGGGCAUCCAACUGUAGAAAAUCUGCUUCAAUAAACUCCAUCUUGCCCACACAAGUAUGACAAAGAGGACGUUAAAAUGAUGAUGAUGAUGAUGAUGAUGAUGAUCUGAUGGACCCUUUUGAAUGAGAUUAGCUUAUCAUGUUCCUAUUUUGGAAAAUAUUUUCAAGGUCUCUGUUCAACCGCAGUACAUGCUUGGAGCGAUGGUGUCUACCUAUCUCAGUAGCUUAUCGAUGAUAGGCUGUGUGGGAGAGGUUACACAGUAGUGAAGAGUGAUAUCAUAAGUAGAGGAAAGAGUAAAAUUAGAAGCGACAGUAAGAAAUUCAUUUAUAAAUAGAAGGAAGAGUGUAGGUGUCGUAAACUAACCAAACCUUAAAUUGCACCAAGUGUUAAGAAAAUGUGGGUUGAAGGGAGCUCCGUUGAUACAGACGUAUGUGUUGUGAUGCUGGUCUCCCAAGACAUUGCUGAUUCCAAGCUGAGAGAUAGUCAUGGACUGCAGCCAUGCUAGGUACCAUCUGGAAGGGUUUAGUCAAACAAAUUAAUCCCAGGACUCCUUGGUAAAACCAUGACAAUGUGGCUAGUAGAGCAUUGUGCGUUUGCUUUUGACAGUUGUGAAGAAUAACGAGUCUGUCGCAGCAGUUCAGCGUGAGUUUCAGCGCCACUUCAACAUUCACCAAAAUCAGGCUGUUCCCACCCAUAAACAGUCUUAUGUUGGGUGAAUGCACUUCGUACACAAGGUACACUAAUGAAUAGGAGACUGCACCAUAAUGCUAAUACGAAUACAUUGAUGUCAAUAAAAUUUGUUUGCAA